GUUCUAAUCGCUGGAGAAAAGCAGAGAUAAAUCAACCGAGAAAGAGGACAUGUGAUUUGGAGACAAAGUGUUUUGACGACGCGUUGUCAAGGUUGAAUAUAUUUCUACAGGUCUCAGGAACGAGACUGGAAAAAUAUCAGCACAAAUGUGAUGAUUUGGAGGUGCAACACAAUGACUUCCCAUCUUAGUACUUUACUGUUGAGAAGGACAUGGGGCUCUACGUGAAGUCCUCACUGGCCCAGAAGGAGGAUGAGCUUACAGACCUGUCAGAGCAACUGCAGCUCAGUCAACUCCGCCAAGAGUUGCAGGAGAACAAGGACAAGCUCACCUUUUGAGAACAUGGUUCUUGUGGGUAAGCAGGAAGCUCCGGAGGAGUCCCUUGUGCAGAAGGAGGAGCUGAUGACUCGCCUGGAGGAGCAGCUCAGGAAGUAGAGACAGGAGCAUCACACAGUCAACUACAGCCUAAAGAGGAAGACCGUGCUGGACAGCGACAGGCCACCACCCACCUGUGUCACUUCAAGACAGGAGUCCUGGGCCUUAUACCGUGUUGUACACCCAACUACAACCACAUCCUGUCCAAGAUGGGACCCCUGUCCAAGAGCACCUGCCUUCAACUUCAUAGCCUCUUUGUUCAUCUGGAAACCCCCACCGCCCUAGAAGAGGACUAGUCCGUCCAAACCCUCUGGUCCAGAGUGCCUGGCUCCUCUGCUGGGUGACCCUUCCAGAGGGAGCCUGUUUACCCCCCACAGACCCACCCCAAUCAGGGGUAGCCCCAUUGAACCCAUCCUCAUAGAGGCAGGACUGGGCUUCAAACUCCUUUAAUGGGACAUUUCCAACAGAAAAUAAAUGGUGCUACUUGGUUAUGCAAAAAAUAUUGUCACUUAUACAUUUUAUUUUUCAGCCACUAGGUGGCAGCAACUAUACUUAGAAUAUGUCCUACUGAGUCCGACAAAGAUCAGCCACGAGAAAGUUUUCUAGAGAAAGCAAUCAAAAGCUCUGUUAUUUUGUGAUAUUAGUUUUUUAAAGACUGUAUCCAAAAAAUAAACAUCAGAAAUGUAUACUCAAAAGAUUAAGGCAUACUGUAGCACAUCCAUUGUCCACAUACUAAAUCCAAUACAGUGGGGCAAAAAAGUAUUUAGUCAGCCACCAAUUGUGCAAGUUCUCCCACUUAAAAAGAUAUAUAUAUAAGAUAUAUAUAUAUAUAUAUAUUUUUAUAUAUAUAUAUUUUAAAAAGAUGAGAGGCCUGUAAUUUUCAUCAUAGGUACACUUCAACGAUGACAGACAAAAAUGAGGAAAAAAAUCCAGAAAAUCACAUUGUAGGAUUUUUAAUGAAUUUGUUUACAAAUUAUGGUGGAAAAUAAGUAUUUGGUGACCUACAAACAAGCAAGAUUUCUGGCUCUCACAGACCUGUAACUUCUUCUUUAAGAGGCUCCUCUAUCCUCCACUCGUUACCUGUAUUAAUGGCACCUGUUUGAACUUAUCAGUAUAAAAGACAUCUGUCCACAACCUCAAAUAGUCACACUCCAAACUCCAUUAUGGCCAAGACCAAAGAGCUGUCAAAGGACACCAGAAACAAAAUUGUAGACCUGCACCAGGUCUGUUAUGCUUCAAUUCUGUACGUGUUCAGUAUUGAUGAUACUUGUAUGAUGCAUGAGUUCAGUGCAGAUAUUGAUUGAAUGGAAUGAAAAUGUUCUCAAUUGAAAAUGUUCCAAUGAUCAAUGCGUUAGGGUAAGCAUGGUGCUUGUAGCCUUAGGGUUGCGAGUUCAAAUCUCAUUAACCAGCUUUUCAUCCAACCAUUUCAUGAAGAUUAAUUACCUGACGCAUGACAAUAUAUUGAUAUUGAUAUAAUAACCAUCAUAAUGAAGUAAACUUGGAGUAACUCAAUGAUAUGUUGUGUACGACUUGGGGAAACCAUGCAGUUUAUUAAGGUAUGGGUGAAAUAAAUGAUGAACUUCACAGGGUGGUGAAUGUCAUGAGUUUGAUACUCUUUUCCAAUAAAUAUCGAAGGUUUUAUUCUGGUGACAUGAUGAUUGAUGUGGUUUUCGGUAAACUUUCCAAAUGUCGACAAAACAAAAUACGCUAGACAAGGUGGGAUCUUUUUGUGUCAGUAAAAUGAAUUAUGCAAGAAAUGUCAGUGGAAAUGCUUUUAUGCGCAAAUAUUGUUAUAAUAACCAUCAUAUGGAAGUAAACGUGGAGUCACGCGAUGACAUGUUGGGUGGUCCACCCACUACAAAUCGAGAAAGCGUGCAGAUUAUUAGCCUACAAAUAAAUUAUAAUGAACUUCACAGGCUGGUAAAAGUUCACAAUGAACUUGAUGCACAUUUCCAAUAACUGUCGAGGGUUUUAUUCUGGUGACAUGACAAAUAAAAAUAAUUGUCAAUCAUAAUCUCAUAAAGGUAGCAGUCCAAACACUUAAUAGAUAAACCCUAUCCCCUCUGCCCUCAAAUUAAGUGGACACUUCUGAUGACACAUCAUGACGUUUGACGAGUACACACUUGCAGGACGAGGGAGGAAGGAUUUACAGUAAUGAGCGUAAUGUCAUUGUAACUGACCACAAGACAAAUAAAGUGACCAAAGGGGUCACAUUCCAAGUGUAGAAUAUUACCACCAAAGGUAUUUUUCAUUGUAGUGACACCGGCGGAGCGUUCAGAUCCAUGGGAAAGCCAAAUAUCGUUGCCCCAUUGUGACCUCCAGAAGUUGGCAUCAGCCAAAAUUGAGUGAGACGCUUGAAAAAAGCAAAAAAAUUUUCGAAAUUGAUUAGCAAAUAAAAAUAAGGCCUUGCGCUUCACAUUGUUUCGUAACCCCCUAGCAUUAAGAGAUAAUAUAGACAAAGACAAAGCCACAAAGAUUAUAUAAAAGUAUAAACUGUAGUAGGAUGAGUCAAAGACGUAGGAGCAGUGAACGAAAACGAUAAGGAACCGAGAUCUGCACCAUUUAAGUCAAUUUAAAGUGAAAAUAGAUUAUUCCAUAACCUUUGAGCUAGAUGUUAUCUGGCUUUGAAAUUCAACUCAACUGGAAAUUAUGUUCAAGACCAAACCAAGGGUUCUUGUAGUAAGAGAGACUAAAAACCCUCUUUAGUGUAAUCAGGAACUAUUCUGAGAAAUAAAACAACAAAUAAUCAUUUAAAUAAAAGGGUACCUACUAUUUUAAGUACAUAGAUCAUAAAAUAAUUGAAUAACAAAAUGUUUGACAUAUAAACGUUCCUAAGACCUUUUUUGGAAAUAGGUGUUAAUAACUAAAUAGAACAAUAACCGUGUAAAGUCAGAGCAGACCUGUAUGCCCUUUAAAACAGUACCUUAGUUACUGUAUACAUAAACAUAAAUACAGCUUUCAAUCUUCUUCGGAAGUUUGUAAACAAAAUAGGUUUUCUGGUCAUACAAGAACAAACUAAUAAAUUGAAAUACAUGAGUAUUCCAGAAAAAUAGUCACCCGAUGCUUGUUAGGUAAACAACAUAAGGAAAAUUAGAAUACCAUGGCUGAAAGCAUCAACCUGUUCCUUCUGUGAGAUUUUAGGGAGGAAUAUGGAUUUCUGAACCGUUGAUGAAACCUCGUCCUCCGACGAAGUAAGCAGCCUUCCCCUCACUUCGUGCUAUCUUGAUCGUUGGCCACAACUUGUUCCUUCUUUCUAUGUCUUCCGGGCUGAGAUGCUCGGCGAAACGCAUACCAUGGCUCUGAAGGAAGGCGUUCUUCCUAGCAGAUUUCCAGACAGCAUCCCUGUAGAAUCUGGUAGUGAAUAGGAUGAUGAUACCCCUGGGUCUUGAAUCGUUUAGCUGUUGCUGGAGUUGAUGAGUAAGGAGAGGGUAGCCACGAUGUCAGAGUUCAUGUUGGGUUUUUUGGAGGGUGGAGGUUUGCACGGAGUAACCGGUAAAGAGGGGAAUUCGUUAUCUUCAACAGCAUUCGAAAGCAUUAUAUUAUCCAUAGACCAAGUGUAGUUAUGGCAGUUGUCUAUAAGCACGUUUCUCUCUUGUUGAUUAGCAAUAGAACGGCAAACUUCUUCCUUUAUUUUUUUGUCACGACUUUGCAUGGACAUGCUGAAAUAAAUGAUCCAAUUAUCAUUCCAGUCACAGGAAAGGUCUUAUAUCUUGAACAAAUAAAAUAGU